rnacentral:rRNA from 1 species
GAUGAAUGCUGGCGGCGUGCCUAACACAUGCAAGUCGAGCGGUAAGGCCCUUCGGGGUACACGAGCGGCGGACGGCUGAGUAACGCGUGGGAACAUGCCCCAAAGUGAGGGAUAAGCUCCAGAAAUGGAGUCUAAUACCGCAUAUGAUCUUCGGAUUAAAGGAUUUAUCCGCUUUGGGAGUGGCCUGCGUACGAUUAGAUAGUUGGUGAGGUAAUGGCUUACCAAGUCUACGAUCGUUAACUGGUCUGAGAGGAUGAUCAGUCAGACUGGAACUGAGACACGGUCCAGACUCCUACGGGAGGCAGCAGUGAGGAAUCUUCCACAAUGGGCGAAAGCCUGAUGGAGCAACGCCGCGUGCAGGAUGAAGGCCUUCGGGUCGUAAACUGCUUUUAUAAGUGAAGAAUAUGACGGUAACUUAUGAAUAAGCACCGGCUAACUACGUGCCAGCCGCCGCCGUAA